ensembl:ncRNA mir-4966-1 mir-4966-1 stem loop
GCUGUGUGACAACAAACUUGUCGGCACUGGAGUACUAAAUAUAUUGCACAUGUUCAUGCAUGUUCAACAUAUUUAGCACUCAAGUACCGAAAAAUGAACAACGAAACGAAAAAUAACACGAACAUCA